UACAGAGGUCCCAAGCGUUGUUCGGAUUCACUGGGCGUAAAGGGUGCGUAGGCGGCCCUCUUUGUCGCGUGUGAAAGCCCCGGGCUCAACCUGGGAACGGCGCGCGAAACGGGGGGGCUGGAGUUCGGGAGAGGAGCGUGGAAUUCCCAGUGUAGAGGUGAAAUUCGUAGAUAUUGGGAAGAACACCGGUGGCGAAGGCGGCGCUCUGGACCGAGACUGACGCUGAGGCGCGAAAGCGUGGGGAGCAAACAGG
rnacentral:rRNA from 1 species